GACCAAUGGUAUGACUAGUUAGCCAGUCAGCAGUUACCUGCCCAAGGUACAGAGCUGGGGAUGCCAGAGGCAGAAGAGAGACUGAAGUUUGGGGCCAUUGCAGAUAAAGCCGCUAUGAACUGUCCUGUGCAGUUUUGUGUGGAUCCAUGAUUCAGACUCUGAGAGCAAAGUACGAGUGCCCUCUGAGGCAGUGAACAGAAGAGUCGGGUUGAGAAUGGUAGAGACAUGCUUGGAGGAGAACAUGCAUGAGAUGUUCCAAGCCACGCUGGUCCCACCAUGCACGGGCAGCGGAGUGCAGGCCGGGCUCCUGAUUCACGGAGACAUUUGUUUGGUUCACUGAGAUAUAAUCUACCAGCUGUUAAUUCAUCCCCCACAAGUCACAUUAGAAUGUGCUUCAAUUAAUAAAUGAUUCUUGUUAAUGCUAGGUACAUAAAUGAGCUGAU